CAGGAAGACCCUUUGGUUUAAUCUGAAGUCAGAGUCAUGCAAUAUUCUGGAACACUGGGAAGAUUUUGUCUUGGUCACAUUACCAGAUUCUUUAUCUCCUUAUCUCAACAUAUUCUUUGGUGUAAGUGCUUGGCUCCUUUGGCAAUGUCAUUCGGUGGCUUCUCCCAUCGAAAAGUGGAGGCUCUUGUUCCAUCCCUGAGUCUGGGCUGGCCUGCUGAUUGGAUUUGAUCAAUAGAAUAAGGAGGGACCUGAGUUUCCCAGAGGUCUGUCUGCUGUUCUGGCACCUUGGCUCUGCUGCAGGACGGGUGAAAGUACCUGGUCAGGGG